CCUACGGGAGGCAGCAGUGAGGAAUAUUGGUCAAUGGGCGAGAGCCUGAACCAGCCAAGUCGCGUGAGGGAGUACUGCCCUAUGGGUUGUAAACCUCUUUUGUCGGGGAGCAAAAGCCGGACGUGUCCGGCUGUGAGAGUACCCGAAGAAAAAGCAUCGGCUAACUCCGUGCCAGCAGCCGCGGUAAUACGGGGGAUGCGAGCGGUAUCCGGAUUUAUUGGGUUUAAAGGGUGCGCAGGCGGAUUUUUAAGUCAGCGGUAAAAUCGUGGGGCUCAACCCCAUCCAGCCGGUGAAACUGGGGAUCUAGAGUGUGCGAGAGGUAUGCGGAAUGCGUGGUGUAGCGGUGAAAUGCAUAGAUAUCACGCAGAACCCCGAUUGCGAAGGCAGCAUACCGGUGCACAACUGACGCUCAGGCACGAAAGCGUGGGUAUCGAACAGGAUUAGAUACCCCGGUAGUC
rnacentral:rRNA from 1 species